UUGUCCUUAGUUACCAGCACGUUAUGGUGGGCGACUCUAAGGAGACUGCCGGUGACAAACCGGAGGAAGGUGGGGAUGACGUCAAGUCAUCAUGGCCCUUACGGCCUGGGCUACACACGUGCUACAAUGGUCGGUACAAAGGGUUGCCAAGCCGCGAGGUGGAGCUAAUCCCAUAAAACCGAUCGUAGUCCGGAUCGCAGUCUGCAACUCGACUGCGUGAAGUCGGAAUCGCUAGUAAUCGUGAAUCAGAAUGUCACGGUGAAUACGUUCCCGGGCCUU
rnacentral:rRNA from 1 species